rnacentral:rRNA from 1 species
CCUACGGGUGGCAGCAGUGGGGGAUAUUGCACAAUGGGGGAAACCCUGAUGCAGCGACGCCGCGUGGGUGAAGAAGUAUUUCGGUAUGUAAAGCCCUAUCAGCAGGGAAGAAAGAAGACGGUACCUGACUAAGAAGCCCCGGCUAACUACGUGCCAGCAGCCGCGGUAAUACGUAGGGGGCGAGCGUUAUCCGGAUUCACUGGGUGUAAAGGGAGCGUAGACGGCCGUGCAAGCCAGGAGUGAAAGCCCGGGGCCCAACCCCGGGACUGCUCUUGGAACUGUGCGGCUGGAGUGCGGGAGGGGCAGGCGGAAUUCCUGGUGUAGCAGUGAAAUGCGUAGAUAUGAGGAGGAACACCGGCGGCGAAGGCGGCCUGCUGGACCGCGACUGACGUUGAGGCUCGAAAGCGUGGGGAGCGAACAGGAUUAGAUACCCGGGUAGUC